GAAAGACUCCUCAAGGAAUCAAUCCUUAGAGACUUUCCUGACCUUGUAGGGAGAUGGACUCUGAUUAGCUAAUGGAUUCUCUUCACCCAGGUCUUCAAAAUGAUCUGCUCGUUUAUCCAGGAGGAAAAGAGAAAGAUACACUCCAAGCACUGGCUGAAGGCUAUUAAGCUGUGACAGGUGCCAUGGUGAUGAAUUGGGCUGGGGGGGUGUAUGUGUGUGAAAGAAGGAUCUCCUGGAAACAGACACAGCAUCAUGAAGGAGAGAGGGGGAAUCUAUUAAAAAGCCUCCCUUAAGAUCCCUACACACUGAGCGACCCACCGGACUUGGACUGGAGGUGCAAAGACCAGAGGCUGCUGCUCUCUCUGUAUCUGCAGGAAGAGCUUUGUCUAGUUACCGAGAGGGCUGGGGAGAGCAGGGCUUGGAGAAGGGAGGAGAGAUCCCCCUGUGGAGGGCUCUGAGAGAGGCGGGGCGGGGGCAUUUACCCUGACCAGCCUGCAAGCCCCAGAAGGAAACCAGAGAAAGGGAGGCAUUUCUGAAGCAGCAGGCGCAGGACACCCGGCUGCCGUGGGGAUCCCAGAAGCAGCCGCCAGCCCAGCCAACCCCUCUCCCCACCCCCAGAUCUUUAAAAGCGGGGGUGGGAGGUUAAAGACAAAGAAGCAAAGGGAUCCAGAGCAAAGGGAGUGCAGGUAAGAGCCGCUCCUUCACCCAUUCCUCUGCUCCCCCAUGCCCGGGGGAUCCCCGCCACUAAGCGAGCGAGCCCCCCUUACUCGGGAAGGAGCCGGGCUUUCCCGAUCCCAUACUGGGGGGGUUCGCUCUCUGCUCGGACAACUUUGCAGCCAGCUCCAUCGCGCACCUGUAACUUCCUCCCCUUAGCACGGAGCACCCGGGGCCUGGGAGACUCCAGCUGAUGGCUGGGGGCCGUGGACACUGGGAUGUCACCCCCUGCCCCCUUUUGCUGAGUAUUCCUCUCCCUGGUGUUCCCAGCCCCCAAGCCCCCGGGAGGGACCCAGGCGACCAGCGCUUUGCAGCGAUCUCCCGUUCACACAGGACUUUUCCCACGCGGAUCCUGGCACAGCUCAGAGUCGUCGUCGUCUUUUUUUUCUGUUUUUGCAGCGUGUUACCCACCUCCAUCCCCGCCGCUCCAGCAGGUAGGCAGCUGCUCCCCCUGGCCUGCCCCCUGUCUGCGUGGAUUGCCGUGGGGCGGUAGGGGGCUAAGCUUCCAGCUGCUUCCCUUCCACACCCGUUUUAAAGCCUGUAAAAAGGGGUGGGGAGAAGGGAGGCGAAGAUCUGGUCCCCGUUUAGCUGGCUUCGGAGGGAGAAGAGGCGGCUGGAUCAGCUGGGAAGCGGGGCCGGUUUAUUUCAGACCUGGAUCUUACCAAGAAGAAUCCACGGACAUGCAGACGUUCCUUCCAGCAAUACAAGUUCUUUUCCCAACCAUACUGGGACACAGUCAGAACUGGCAUACUGCAGGGAAGAGUACCAUUCACAGAAGCAUCAACUCUACUUUCUGCAGAAGAAUCAGAACAAACUAUUUCCUACUAUUACUGAGAACAGAAGGAACUUACACUAUGGCCCACUGUGAAUGUAGUGGAUGAAAGAGAAAUAACCUGCUGAGUUGACCGCAAGGUUCGUAAUGUAAAUUCUUCUGCAUUUCUACACUGUCUGCGUUGCACCUCAUUACCCUUGUAGUGGCUGCUUCACAAACUAGCAAGAGAUAGAGUAAUAAAAAACAUCAAUAUGAGUCA
ensembl:lncRNA